rnacentral:rRNA from 1 species
UGGGGAGUAUUGGACAAUGGGGGAAACCCUGAUCCAGCCAUGCCGCGUGAGUGAAGAAGGCCUUAGGGUUGUAAAGCUCUUUCGCACGCGACGAUGAUGACGGUAGCGUGAGAAGAAGCCCCGGCUAACUUCGUGCCAGCAGCCGCGGUAAUACGAAGGGGGCAAGCGUUGUUCGGAUUUACUGGGCGUAAAGGGCGCGUAGGCGGAACGACAAGUCAGAGGUGAAAGCCCUGGGCUCAACCCGGGAAUUGCCUUUGGGACUGCCGUUCUAGAGUUCGGAAGAGGAUGGCGGAAUACCCAGUGUAGAGGUGAAAUUCGUAGAUAUUGGGUAGAACACCGGUGGCGAAGGCGGCCAUCUGGUCCGACACUGACGCUGAGGCGCGAAAGCGUGGGGAGCAAACAGG